AGAUACAAUUCGCAAAACACAUGAAAUGCAAGAAGUGAAAGAACCUAGUGGGGAAACCCCCACUCAAUUCCCGAUUCGGUGUGCACCCAAGAAUCACGAACAGACGA
rnacentral:pre_miRNA from 7 species